CUGAAUAGGGCGCAUAAGUAACAGGUCGUAGACCCGAAACCAGGUGAUCUACCCAUGUCCAGGAUGAAGGUAAGGUAAUACUUACUGGAGGUCCGAACCCACGCACGUUGAAAAGUGCGGGGAUGAGGUGUGGGUAGCGGAGAAAUUCCAAUCGAACUUGGAGAUAGCUGGUUCUCUCCGAAAUAGCUUUAGGGCUAGCCUCGAGGUAAAGAGUCAUGGAGGUAGAGCACUGUUUGGACUAGGGGCCCUUCUCGGGUUACCGAAUUCAGAUAAACUCCGAAUGCCAUGUACUUAUACUCGGGAGUCAGACUGCGAGUGAUAAGAUCCGUAGUCGAAAGGGAAACAGCCCAGACCACCAGUUAAGGUCCCCAAAUAUAUGUUAAGUGGAAAAGGAUGUGGGGUUGCUUAGACAACCAGGAUGUUGGCUUAGAAGCAGCCACCAUUGAAAGAGUGCGUAAUAGCUCACUGGUCGAGUGACCCCGCGCCGAAAAUGUACCGGGGCUAAACAUAUUACCGAAACUGUGGAUGAACCUCUUUAGAGGUUCGUGGUAGGAGAGCGUUCUAAGGGCGGUGAAGUCAGACCGGAAGGACUGGUGGAGCGCUUAGAAGUGAGAAUGCCGGUAUGAGUAGCGAAAGAAGGGUGAGAAUCCCUUCCACCGAAUAUCUAAGGUUUCCUGAGGAAGGCUCGUCCGCUCAGGGUUAGUCGGGACCUAAGCCGAGGCCGAUAGGCGUAGGCGAUGGACAACAGGUAGAGAUUCCUGUACCAGUGCUAAUUGUUUAACCGAUGGGGUGACACAGAAGGAUAGGGAAUCGCACGAAUGGAAAUGUGCGUCCAAGCAGUGAGUGUGAGAAGUAGGCAAAUCCGCUUCUCGCGAAGCAUGAGCUGUGAUGGGGAAGGAAAUUAAGUACGGAAGUUCCUGAUUUCACGCUGUCAAGAAAAGCCUCUAGGAAGAGUAGUACUGCCCGUACCGCAAACCGACACAGGUAGAUGAGGAGAGAAUCCUAAGGUGAGCGAGAGAACUCUCGUUAAGGAACUCGGCAAAAUGACCCCGUAACUUCGGGAGAAGGGGUGCUCUAUUAGGGUGCAAGCCCGAGAGAGCCGCAGUGAAUAGGCCCAGGCGACUGUUUAGCAAAAACACAGGUCUCUGCAAAACCGUAAGGUGACGUAUAGGGGCUGACGCCUGCCCGGUGCUGGAAGGUUAAGAGGAGUGCUUAGCUUCGGCGAAGGUACGAAUUGAAGCCCCAGUAAACGGCGGCCGUAACUAUAACGGUCCUAAGGUAGCGAAAUUCCUUGUCGGGUAAGUUCCGACCCGCACGAAAGGCGCAACGAUCUGGGCACUGUCUCAACGAGAGACUCGGUGAAAUUAUAGUACCUGUGAAGAUGCA
rnacentral:rRNA from 1 species